rnacentral:lncRNA from 1 species
AACAUUGUUGUGAGGGAAGUGUUGGUAGAAAUAUGGAUAUUAAAAGAAAUUUUGGUGAGGGGUCAGAAAGUAAAGAGGAGAGCUAGAAACAAAGCUUCCAUUUUCUUAGAGAAUACAUAAAUACAUGAACAGAAUAUUCAUUCAAAUGUGGAUGUUAAGGGCCAUUUUGGUGAGAUCUCAGAUACAAAUAAAGAACAGACAGUUGGAAACUGGAAGGUGAUCUUUAUUAUAAAGUAGCAAAGAAUAUGGCUGCAUUGUGUCCUAGUGUUGUGCAAGGUAGAACUUGCAAGUGAUGAAAUUGGAUACAUAGCAGAGGAGAUAUCUAAGUAAAGUAUCAAAGGUACCCCUUGGGUCCUCCUUGCUGCUUAUAGUAAAAUGCAAGAGGAGAGAGGUGAAUUGAAGAAGGAAUGGUUAGGAAAAAGGAGCCAGAACAUGGAGAUUGGGUACAACUCAUGGACUUAAUCAGCCAUCUCAUCAGAAGCCAAGAAUAGAGAUGGGAUUUUACCAGCAGAAACACUGCUGGCUGAGACUAAGGAAACAGAAAAAAUGAGACAGGAUGAAGGAAAGCUAUCAGACUUAGAUUUUACAGGAUGGGACCAUAGAGCUAUUUGGCUCUGAAAAUACUUUAUCCUUCAAGAAAAGGGAAGACUGACUCCAACAGCAAUUCAGAAAUCCUCAGGGCUGCCAGUCCCACUACAGGCCCAGGGAGUAGGUCUGAAUCCUUCUGUUUUUCAAAGAGUGGGUGUGCCCUUCCAGUUUUGGUGGGUCAGGAACCCUUGCCUACUAUAUCAGGGUCAGGGUCAGGUUUGCCCUAGCAGAGAGCUUGUGGACUGGCCUUACUCCUUAAGCUGAAGGGGCAAGGCUACCCUGUAGAGCUGUGAGAAUGAUACUACCACCCGAGAGGGCCUGGGGGGCAGAGAGUUGAACCCAAGAGGGUUAUUCUCUAGCUUUAAGAUCCAAAGGAAUUUUCCUUGCUAGAUUUUGGACUUGUUACAAAAGCCAUCACCUCUUCCUUCUUUGCUAUUUCUCCCUUUUGGAGUGGGACUGUCUAUCCUAUGCCUUGUCCCAUCAUAUUUUAGAAGCACAUGACUUGUCUGGUUUCACAGGUUCACACCUGCAGAGAAUUUUGCCUCAGGAUGAAUCACACUUCAGUUCUCUCCCAUACCUGAUUUAGAUGAUAUUUAAUGAGACAUUGGACCUUAAGCUUUAGAGGUGAUGUUGUAAUGAGUUAAGACUUUUAGCACAUUAGGGUGGGAUGAAUGAUGAAUGUAUUUUGUAUGUAAGAAGGGCAUGAAUUUUGGAGGCCAGAUGCCCCACUCUUAGUACCAAAAUCUGUAGUACUCUACAAGUGUUGCUGUAACAAAAUACCACAGACUGAGUGGCAUAAACAGCAGAAAUUUGUUUAUCAUGCUUCUGGAGGCUGGGGAGUCCCAGAUCAAAGUUCAGGUCUGUUUGUUUUCUUGUGAGGGUUCUCUUCCUGGCUCACUGUAGGCCACCUUCCCUCUGUUUCUCACAUGACCUCUUUGUAUGCAUGCAGAGAGAGAGAGUAAACUCUCUGAUGUUUCUUCUUAUAAGGGCACUAAUUUCAUCAAACCAAGGCCCCACCCUCAUAAUCUCAUCUAACCCAAAUUACCUCCCCAAAGUCCCAUCUCCAAAUACCAUCGCAUUGGGGGUUAGGGCUUCAACAUAUGGAUUUUGGGGGAACACGGGGGACAAAAAUAUUCAGUCCAUAAUAGUUAGCAUAUAAUAGACACUCAAUAAAUACUGUUUUAAGUAAAUAAAUAUUCUGCUAAAGGUAUCAAAGAAGGAAAAAGUGACAUUCAAGAUUGUAUUAGCCAUUUUUGUGUUGCUAUAACAGAAUACCCGAGGCUGGGUAAUUUCUGAAGAAAUUUAUUUAGCUCAUGGUUCUGCAUGCUGAGAAGUAUGGCGCUGGCAUCUGUUUGGCUUCUGGAAGAGGCCAUGUGCUAGAUCAAAACACGGCAGAAGUUCAAAGAGGAUGUGAACAUGUGUGAAGACAGACCAAACGAGAAACCUUGCUUUGUAAUAACCCACUUUCUUAGGAACUAAUCUGUUCCCAGAGAGCUAAUCCAGUCUCUAGAGAGCAAGAACUCACUACCGUGAGAAUAGCACCAAGCAAAAGGGAUCCACCCCGUUGACCUGAACACCUUCCAUUAGGCACCACCUCCCAACUGCCACAUUUGGGAUGAAAUUUCAGCCCGAGUUUUGGUGGGGACAAACAAACCAUAUCCAAACAGUAGCAUAGAUGGAAUAGGUAGGAUUUGCAUUUACUUAAAAAAAUAUUUAUUGUCUAUUACAUGCUUCCCCUAAACUCCCAGAAUACUUUUUCUGGGACUUUCUCAAAAUUUACUACUUUUCUGCCUUGUUUUAUAGUAUUAUACUUGUCCUAACUCAUCUACUGGAUUAUAAGUAUCUCAACAUCAGAAGCCGUGUCUGAUUUAUUUUGUAUCCUGUACAAAAUCUACAAUGCCUUCUCUAGUUCUAGUCAUCUUUGUACUCCUGUAUCUGUAAGAGGGUUGGGCAUAUGAUGAGUGCCUGUUAACUUAUUUAUCCACCCAACACAAUACCUGAAAUAUGGUCAAUGCGAAAUAAAAAGUUGAUGAAGUGUUUGUU